rnacentral:lncRNA from 1 species
AAGAGAAUCAUCCACUACACUGGAGAUGAAACAUAGAGAAAUUUGCUCAGGAAAGACUAUAGAUUGGAGUAAGAAGCUGAGAAGAGCCUUGACUCUAGACAACCUCAGAGUCCAAUCAAUUCAGCUAAAAAUCAAAGCCAUGAGCUCAAGCACCACAGAAUCCAUUUCAGAAGCUCAGACUCCACUAACCUCAGGGAUGAAGCUUCAGACUCUGAACUACAUUGUCACAGUUGAUCUAGGAGGGAGAAACAUGACUUUGAUCGUCGACACUGGAAGUGACUUGACAUGGGUCCAAUGCCAGCCUUGCAAGUCAUGUUACAACCAACAAGGUCCUUUGUAUGACCCAUCAGUCUCAUCUUCUUACAAGACAGUGUUCUGCAACUCAUCAACUUGUCAGGAUCUUGUAGAAGCAACAGGCAAUUCAGGCCUCUGUGGAGGUAACAAUGGUGUUGAUAAGACGACUUGUGACUACGUUGUCAGCUAUGGGGAUGGAUCAUACACUCGUGGAGACUUGGGAAGUGAAAGUAUCCAACUCGGCGACACAAAUGUUGAAAGCUUUGUAUUUGGUUGUGGCCGAAGCAACAAAGGUUUGUUUGGUGGAGCUUCUGGUCUAAUGGGUUUGGGAAGAAGCUCAGUCUCUUUAGUCUCCCAAACCAUGAAAAGUUUCAACGGUGUUUUCUCAUACUGUCUACCUUCUCUUGAAGAUGGAGCUUCAGGCUCACUAUCCUUCGGUGAUGAUUACAAGAACUCAACCUCAGUUUCAUACACUCCUUUAGUGCAAAACCCUCAGCUUAGUUCCUUUUACGUUCUGAACCUCACCGGAGCUAGCAUUGGUGGCGUGGAGCUGGAGUCUUCAAGCUUUGGUAGAGGGAUUCUAAUCGAUUCAGGAACGGUCAUCACUAGGUUGCCGCCUUCCAUUUACAAAGCUGUGAAGAGAGAGUUUCUAAAACAGUUCUCUGGGUUUCCUUCAGCUCCAAGCUAUUCAAUCUUAGACACUUGUUUUAACCUCACAAGUUAUGAAGACGUCAGCAUACCAACUAUCAAAAUGAUCUUCCAAGGUAACGCUGAGCUUGAAGUGGAUGUCACUGGUGUGUUCUACUUUGUCAAGCCUGAUGCAUCUCUAGUCUGCUUGGCCUUGGCAAGCCUUUCAUAUGAAAACGAAGUCGGUAUUAUUGGAAACUACCAACAGAAAAACCAGAGAGUGAUAUAUGAUACCAAACAAGAGAAGCUUGGGAUAGCAGGAGAAAACUGCAGUUUCUGAUGUCUAUCCAAUGACUUGUAUAAUAAGCUUUGUGUGUUCCCCCCCUCAUAUCAUGAAAGCCAAUCAUCUUUUUUGGUAAAGUCUUUGAAACAAAAAAUUAUAAAGUAGAAAAAUAAUCAAAUAAAGAAAGAUCAUUUUAUAUUAAGAGUAAUAAAACAAAUCCCACUAUAUAAAAGGGACUAAUUGAGAAAGAUAUGUGUAGAUACUGUAUCUUUGCUUUAGUUUAGUAUUUAAUUGCGUGAUUUAAGGGUUAGAUUAGCAAAAGCCUCAACAUUUGUAAACAUUUUAAUUAAAGUCAUUACCUUUACAUUACUUUUCUUAGCUCCCUUUCUUUCAAUUGGGAUUAGUAAUAGUACUAUAGUUGUUUUUCUAAAGCUUUACACAUGUAUUUAUAGAAUCUUAAGAUUCUUUCCUCCAUAAGAGAACACUCAUCUAACAUAAAUGUUUGUAUCUUUUGCUUGUAAACUCUGUUUCUAAUCAUCUGUUUUUGAUAUCCCCUUGUUGACUCUUUAUUUUUGUUUAAAAAACUUAGGCAAAGGAAGAGAAUCAUCCACUACACUGGAGAUGAAACAUAGAGAAAUUUGCUCAGGAAAGACUAUAGAUUGGGGUAAGAAGCUGAGAAGAGCCUUGACUCUAGACAACCUCAGAGUCCAAUCAAUUCAGCUAAAAAUCAAAGCCAUGAGCUCAAGCACCACAGAAUCCAUUUCAGAAGCUCAGACUCCACUAACCUCAGGGAUGAAGCUUCAGACUCUGAACUACAUUGUCACAGUUGAUCUAGGAGGGAGAAACAUGACUUUGAUCGUCGACACUGGAAGUGACUUGACAUGGGUCCAAUGCCAGCCUUGCAAGUCAUGUUACAACCAACAAG